rnacentral:rRNA from 1 species
GAUGAACGCUGGCGGCGUGCUUAACACAUGCAAGUCGAACGGAACUUCCUUGCUAUCGUGUGGUUCUCGAGUGGGGAAAAGGUUUGUAUCACGAACGUAACCUGCCCUCGACUGUAGGCUGACUUCAAGAAGCGGAGGCUACUACGAAAUAGGAGCUCCUGCUGCAUGAUGAUGGUUGGCGAAUGUCGGCGGUUUAAGAUGGACUCUCGGCUUAUCGGCUUGUUGGUGGGGUAGUGGCUUACCAAGGCUUUGACGGGUAGCCGGCCUGAGAGGGUGACCGGCCACAUAGCGACUGAGAUAGGGCGCAGACGCGUACGGUAGGCAGCAGUGGGGAGUAUUGCACAAUGGGCGGAAGCCUGAUGCAGAAGCGCCGCGUGCGGAAUGACGGCCUUCGGGUUGUAAACCGCUUUCGCAUGUGACGAACAGUGAGUGACGGUAACGGGUAAAGAAGCACCGGCUAACUACGUG